AUGCGGAGCGCAGGUGGGAGGCAGCAGGGCGGAUGGGACACCAGCCGUUGCGACACCUUGGGAUGGAUCCUGUCCUUCAGCAAGGAGCAGGGCACGCAGGGUUCGCUCGCCCUUCCCUCGGCUCAGCGGUGCAGCACUUCGGUACAUUUACUGACAGCUAAAAAUAGACGGCCCAUGCCUCAGCUUCCUCUUCUGAGUCACCAGGAGCUCUCUGACCAAUCCACACUUGCUCAGCAGAUGUUUGGGCUCCGCUUCAGAAGGUACGGGGAGCCUGACUCCAAGAAUUGGCAGGCUUGCAGACCUUACCCAUCGCCUUACAAGGCUCCUCGGAGAAGGACGUGCAAUAAUCACGAUAACGGGACGCUGUCCAUCAGGGGGACGCCCCGCUGGGUUUGCACUACCUGCGAGGCAGGUGGAAGCAGCCCUGCUGGUCAGCGGGGUGUCCCCACAGCCUGCAGGGCAGGAAGCCUGCACGGUCCCGAGGGGGAAAGCUGGGGCUCCUCUGGCUGAGACCACACGUCCCCACUCAGCCCCUGGGCUCCCGCCGGAGGGAACCCAGCUUCUGCACAGAGCAGCUGCAUGCAAACACAGCGAGCAGGGACCUCCAGCGCUGCGCAGGGCUUUGUCCCAGCGCUGUGGGAAGGCAGAGCCAGAAACGUGCCUGCAAUCCCACUGCCCCUGCUGCGGGCUCCGGCACAGCCCGGGGGCCGGCACCCGGCUGCACUGUCACCAUGUCCACGCGGCGUGUCUAGCAACCCCCAAUUAAGCUAACAGCUAAUUAUAUUCCUCUAAUGAGACAGCACGCUUUGCUGGCUGGAAGAGAGGAUGGGGAGACAAGACUUCUGGUUUCCUUUUCAGGAUCAACCAAAAUGAGUCAUUGUCUCAGCUUUCUCUCAGCUU
rnacentral:lncRNA from 1 species